rnacentral:rRNA from 1 species
AUUGAACGCUGGCGGCAGGCCUAACACAUGCAAGUCGAACGGUAACAGGAAGAAGCUUGCUUCUUUGCUGACGAGUGGCGGACGGGUGAGUAAUGUCUGGGAAACUGCCUGAUGGAGGGGAAUAACUACUGGAAACGGUAGCUAAUACCGCAUAACGUCGCAAGACCAAAGAGGGGGACCUUCGGGCCUCUUGCCAUCGGAUGUGCCCAGAUGGGAUUAGCUAGUAGGUGGGGUAACGGCUCACCUAGGCGACGAUCCCUAGCUGGUCUGAGAGGAUGACCAGCCACACUGGAACUGAGACACGGUCCAGACUCCUACGGGAGGCAGCAGUGGGGAAUAUUGCACAAUGGGCGCAAGCCUGAUGCAGCCAUGCCGCGUGUAUGAAGAAGGCCUUCGGGUUGUAAAGUACUUUCAGCGGGGAGGAAGGGAGUAAAGUUAAUACCUUUGCUCAUUGACGUUACCCGCAGAAGAAGCACCGGCUAACUCCGUG